UUCUCAAAUCAGGUGAGACUACCCGCUGAACUUAAGCAUAUCACUAAGCGGAGGAAAAGAAACUAACCAGGAUUCCCCUAGUAACGGCGAGUGAACCGGGAAGAGCUCAAGCUGAAAAUCUUCGGAAUUGUGGUCUAUAGGUGCGGACUCGCGCAGCCCCAGGUAUAAAUCCGUUCUUGGAAUUGGGUGCCAGAGAGGGUUAGAGCCCCGUCUUUGACUUGGGUAGCUGUGCGUGGCGAGUCUUUACCGGAGAGUCGGCUUGCUUGGGAAUGCAGGCCAAAAUGGGUGGUAAACUUCAUCUAAAGCUAAAUAUUGGCGAGAGACCGAUAGCGAACAAGUACUGUGAAGGAAAGAUGGAAAGAACUUUGAAAAGAGAGUGAAAAAGGGCUUGAAAUUGUUAAGAGGAGAAGUGAUUGGAGCAUGUCAUACGGCGUGGGGUUCCAGGGACGGGACUUGUCUUGUCUUGCACCAUCCUGCGUUGUUGGUCAGCAUCGGUUCUGUGUGGGGGAGAAAGCCCUUGGCGUUGAUGGCUUCGGCUUGAUCGUUGGGGGUGCAACCUUGGACGGGACCGAGGCAGCAAGUCUACGCUUGGCGGCCGGCCCCUUGCCCGCCUUUGUAUGCGUUGUACACCCUUUUGGCGUCUGCGGCGUAUGCUUGGGUGAUGUGUGGGAGCGCUGGACCUGUAGACUUAAGAUGUUGGCAAAAAUGGCUUCAAUCAGCCCGUCUGGAAACACGGACCAAGGAGUCUAACACGUAUGCGAGUAGUAAGGUGGCAAACCUUGGAUGCGCAAUGAAAGUAAAUGUAGGUGGGAUCCGCAAGGUGCACCAUCGACCGACCAGGAUCUUUUUGUGAAAGGUUUGAGUAAGAGCAUAUUUGUUGGGACCCGAAAGAUGGUGAACUAUGCCUGAAUAGGGUGAAGCCGGAGGAAACUCCGGUGGAGGCUCGUAGCGGUACUGACGUGCAAAUCGUUCGUCAAAUUUGGGUAUAGGGGCGAAAGACUAAUCGAACCAUCUAGUAGCUGGUUCCCUCCGAAGUUUCCCUCAGGAUAGCUGGAGCUCAUACAAGUUUUAUCAGGUAAAGCGAAUGAUUAGAGGCAUCGGGGGUGAAACAUCCUCGACCUAUUCUCAAACUUUAAAUAGGUAAGAAGUCCUUGCCACUUGAUUGGGCAUGGGCAUUGAAUUGGAGUUCCAAGUGGGCCAUUUUUGGUAAGCAGAACUGGCGAUGCGGGAUGAACCGAAAGUCGUGUUAAGGUGUUUAACUGUCGGCUCAUGUAGACCCCACAAAGGGUGUUGGUUCAUAUAAACAGCAGGACGGUGGCCAUGGAAGUCGGAAUCCGCUAAGGAGUGUGUAACAACUCACCUGCCGAAUGGACUAGCCCCGAAAAUGGAUAGCGCUCAAGCCGACGACCUAUACACGACCGUUGGCCUAAAUGCGAUGGGCCAACGAGUAGGAGGGCGUGGAGAUUGUGAAGCAGCCUUGGACGUGAGUCUGGGUGAAACGGUCUCUAGUGCAGAUCUUGGUGGUAGUAGCAAAUAUUCAAAUGAGAACUUUGAAGGCCGAAGUGGAGAAAGGUUCCAUGUGAACAGCAAUUGGACAUGGGUUAGUCGGUCCUAAGAGAUAGGGGAACUCUGUAUCAAGGGGCCAUUUUUGGCCUGCCUAUCGAAAGGGAACCGGGUUAAUAUUCCCGGACCAGCGUGUGGAUAAUGCAUGGCGACAUAAGUGAACUUCACGACGGCGGCGGGAGCCCUGGGAAGAGUUGUCUUUUCUUCUUAACAAGAAGCCCACCGUGGAAUCGGGUUAACCGGAGAUACGGUAGGAAGCUUGGCAAAGCACCUUACGUCUUGAGGUGUCCGGUGCGCUCUCGACGCCCCUUGAAAAGUGAAGGGAAGCGUUCAUUCUCACACCUGGCCGUACUCAUAACCGCAUCAGGUCUCCAAGGUGAGUAGCCUCUGGUCGAUAGAAUAAUGUAGGUAAGGGAAGUCGGCAAGAUAGAUCCGUAACUUCGGGAAAAGGAUUGGCUCUAAGGGUUGAUUUGAAGAAAACUAUUAAUGCUGUUAAUUUUUUGUAUUUUUGGAUGUUCCAAUCAGUA
rnacentral:rRNA from 11 species